AUCUGUAUUUUUCCUACCUGCAAAAGUCCUUUUUUUCUUUAAAGUAGCAGCUGCAGAGAGGACUGUCUUUUACAAAUGAGACCCACAAAAUUUAUAGAAGGAUAGUAGCGGUCAGGAGAUCUGUAUUAACAUUUCAGAGUCUCUAGAUGAAAACUCAAGAAGCAGAAAUAUGUAAAUUAAAUUAUUUUCAGAUGAAGAUACUUAACACAUGCAUUCGCUGACAUUAGAUUGUGCAUAAUUUUCUUUAAAAAUUUUCAAUUCACAUGUAGGUCAGUCUUCCUAUGACUUUACAAGCAGAUUUCUUGUGGAACAUGUAUUUCUGAAAAUGGAAAUUCUCAGUAGCAUGACAAAGGAAGGAGGAUUUGCAAAAUUCAUUUCAGUAAAUUAAGAGCUUCUUCAGGGAACUCUGCCUUACAUGUUUAAAUCUGCACCUCUUGAGCAGCAUGUUUUUAUGAAAACUAGGAUACAUAUACUAUCUGCACAAGCUGACAGGAUGUAUGUCUCACAUGUAAUUAUAAAUAAGAAAAUACACUAAGUCAUCCUGUACAAAAAUGUGAAUUUGGAACUGUAUAUUUUAGGCAAUCCACAUCAAUACUUACAAAAUAGGCUUUUUCUGUUUUUCUAGGAACAAUAGUGAGAGCUGAAUAUUGGGACUUUCAUUCAAGGUAGUGGAGAAUUCUACGUACACAGGAGUCUAAUACAAAUUACUGACAAUGGAAUGAGAUAUAAGGGUGCAGAAGAAGGAAGCACGUUUUACAUUGCAACAAUUACCAUUUACUGCUUAUCUGACCACUUUUUAACAGCCAGUAGCUCUUCUGUGUAUCACAGAGGAGAUAUCUAUUUUCAUUCACACCUCUUCUGAGCACUUCUCACUCAAGUUUGAAGGAAUCAGUACUUGGUGAUGUUCCGUUCCUGCCCAGCCUGAGUGAAGACACGAGCAGGGAGACUGCAGCAGAUGUGGCGCAGCAUCAAAUCGUGAGAAAAUACGAACAAAAGUCACAACGACCUGUUUUACUCCGCACCACCGGAGCCGCCGCGGCAGCAGC